rnacentral:rRNA from 1 species
AACUCUCGACAACGGAUAUCUCGGCUCUCGCAUCGAUAAAGAACGUAGCAAAAUGCGAUACUUGGUGUGAAUUGCAGAAUCCCAUGAACCAUCGAGUCUUUGAAUGCAAGUUGCGCCCGAAGCCAUUAGGCCGAGGGCACGUCUGCCUGGGCGUCA